UCCAGACUCCUACGGGAGGCAGCAGUGGGGAAUAUUGCACAAUGGGGGAAACCCUGAUGCAGCGACGCCGCGUGAGCGAAGAAGUAUUUCGGUAUGUAAAGCUCUAUCAGCAGGGAAGAAAAAAAUGACGGUACCUGAGUAAGAAGCACCGGCUAAAUACGUGCCAGCAGCCGCGGUAAUACGUAUGGUGCAAGCGUUAUCCGGAUUUACUGGGUGUAAAGGGAGCGUAGGCGGCGCGUUAAGUCUGAUGUGAAAACCCGAGGCUCAACCACGGGAGUGCAUUGGAAACUGGCGGGCUGGAGUGCCGGAGAGGUAAGCGGAAUUCCUAGUGUAGCGGUGAAAUGCGUAGAUAUUAGGAGGAACACCAGUGGCGAAGGCGGUCUGCUGGACAGUAACUGACGGUGAGGCGCGAAAGCGUGGGGAGCAAACAGGAUUAGAUACCCCCGUACC
rnacentral:rRNA from 1 species